GUGUUCACUUUGGCGGCACAUAUACUAAAAUUGGGAUGAUACAAAGAAGAUUGUAUGGCUCCCGUGCAAGGACAACACGCAAAUCAAUGAAGCGCUCCAUGUUUUG